rnacentral:rRNA from 1 species
AGCAGUCGCCGCGGGAAUACGUAGGUCCCGAGCGUUGUCCGGAUUUAUUGGGCGUAAAGCGAGCGCAGGCGGUUUGAUAAGUCUGAAGUUAAAGGCUGUGGCUCAACCAUAGUUCGCUUUGAAAACUGUCAAACUUGAGUGCAGAAGGGGAGAGUGGAAUUCCAUGUGUAGCGGUGAAAUGCGUAGAUAUAUGGAGGAACACCGGUGGCGAAAGCGGCUCUCUGGUCUGUAACAGACGCUGAGGCUCGAAAGCGUGGGGAGCGAACAGGAUUAGAUACCCGAGUAGUCCCUGUCUCUUAUACC